AGACGUUCUUUGCUCGAGACGGAUUGGCGGCAGCGAGAAGGCAGUGCAGGUGUGCGAGUUACUUUCAGGCUUUGAAAAACCUGGCAAUGAAUUAUUCUGGCUGAGUUCUGUCGCUUAUCAAGCAAAAAUCUGAGUUGCAAUCAGAGUUCUUCAAAGAUCUCGACAAAUAUACUCCUCGCUUCCUGGAGAAGUUCAAAACCCAGAGGGGGAAAGUGUCGGACAGAAACUUGAAUAUCUGCAACAAGUCACACCUGGGAGUACAGAUGUGACUGGGAGGUGAACAGCAGUCCUCCGUGGCUCUCCCGUCAUCCUUGGAGAUGACAACGCAGACUUCUUCAAGAAUUUGAGGUUCAGGAGCAGCCAAUAUGAUGCAGGUGUGACGGCUGAAGACGGCAGGUACCUGUUCAGCCUCCUGUAGUAGGAGCACAUUUCCCAGAAGCAGCAGUGACAAAGAAAUGUGGAUGUUUACCACGAAUAUGAACUCUGAUGACCUUCUGGACGUGUCCCACGCCUCCAUUGGGACCCUGACGGUGCUGAAGACAUCGUGGCCUCCUCACUCGCUGGACCUGGAGUCUACAACUACUGCCAUCGUUUUGGGAGGAACAGUCGUGAUGGGUGACCGUGAUAAUCUUCCCUGUGCCGUGUGGCUACUCUUCAGACUUAUUUCCCCCUGAAUUUGGAGUAUCCUCAACGAGUGAGGAAGACCUUCUGAAUUUAUUCAUAGAGUGCUUCUCACUUGGACCAAAAACCCUAAAAUACAAUCACUCAAAAAUCUACUGAUGCCAUAAGGGACUGUGUUCAUGAUGUGCAGUCAGGCCCGAGAACUUCAUCCUUCUAUCUCCAAUU